UUCCGGUUGAUCCUGCCGGACCCGACUGCUAUCAGAGUGGGACUAAGCCAUGCGAGCCAACAUAGCAAUAUGUGGCAUACGGCUCAGUAACACGUAGUCAACAUGCCCAGGGGACGUGGAUAACCUCGGGAAACUGAGGAUAAACCGCGAUAGGUCAUGAUUUCUGGAAUGAUUCAUGGCCCAAAUCUAUAUGGCCCCUGGAUUGGACUGCGGCCGAUCAGGCUGUUGGUGAGGUAAUGGCCCACCAAACCUGUUACCGGUACGGGCUCUGAGAGGAGGAGCCCGGAGAUGGGCACUGAGACAAGGGCCCAGGCCCUAUGGGGCGCAGCAGGCGCGAAACCUCUGCAAUAGGCGAAAGCCUGACAGGGUUACUCUGAGUGGUUUCCGCUAAGGAAAUCUUUUGGCACCUCUACAAAUGGUGCAGAAUAAGGGGUGGGCAAGUCUGGUGUCAGCCGCCGCGGUAAUGCCAGCACCCCGAGUGGUCGGGACGUUUAUUGGGCCUAAAGCAUCCGUAGCCGGUUCUACAAGUCUUCCGUUAAAUCCACCUGCUUAACAGAUGGGCUGCGGAAGAUACUAUAGAGCUAGGAGGCGGGAGAAGCAAGCGGUACUCGAUGGGUAGGGGUAAAAUCCG
rnacentral:rRNA from 1 species